rnacentral:lncRNA from 1 species
CACACCUUACUGCAGCUGAGGGCGGAGUUACGGGCGUGUUUUUCUUUUUGUUUACGUAAAUGUGACGCUUCAGAUUGUGGACUUGCUGUACUGCUCCAAUUCUCCAUUCCCGGUGGCUAACAGGUAUACUGUACGAAGAAAAUGCUAUACUGAUGAGGCCGAGCUGUCCUAAAACUUGGUCGACUCGUCCGGCUUACAGGUGAAAAAGGGGGCGUGGCGGCAGAAUGCUCUUGAACACCUGUCAAGACACACCCUACUGCAGCUGAGGGCCGCGUUGCGGGCGUGGUGUCUUUUCUUCAACAGUAAAUAUGCGCUGUUAGAAACGAACCGGCCUUGCUUCUCAUGGAAUCUUUUUUUUUUUUUUUUACCUCAAUUGCAUGUGACAUUUUCGAUUUUUGAUGUCUCAUAUUUUAUUUGUUUCUUUUGCUGAUAAAAGGGUUAAUUUUGCUUAACUAUGUCUAAUACAAUUGUUACAUGAUAGAUAUCUGAGUUGAAAUAAAUAAAUUAUGUUCACCUGUGUUUAUCUCAAAACCCCAAGAACUGAAGACAUCCUUCGAUUCAUAAAGAACGUGAUUAUUCACAAAAAGGUAAGAAAAGAAAAAAAAAACACUGCGGACAUAAGUUUAUUUAUACGUCAGUAAUUUACAUACUUAAAGUCCGAUAAGUGUAAGUUUAUUAGAAGUAGUACUAGAUAAUGAGUAGACACACAGGACAGUCAUUUCAGCGAAUUCACCUGCGCUCCAUCUGCAAAUACAGUUCCUUUACAUAAGCUAUGUUAACAGAGGGUAGCAUACACUAAUACUGCUAGGUCUAUGUACUUAAAUAA